UGUCGAUAUUCACCAGCAUGAUGUCAAGAAGAGAGCAGUGGCAUCCGAAGCUGGAUCCUCCCGACCGUCGAAGAAGGGUCGGGCAACUAUAUUUGCACUGAUGAGAGAACCUGAUAUACCAUCAGCGUCAGUUUCUGAGUCGGUUUUGGCGCUGUCAACCCCGACAGUGCUUCCUAAAGUGCCGUCUAUCGAAGAUGGGGCGGCAAGAGAAGACAGAGUUGCUACAGCACCAUCAGCGGCUCAAUCAACAGAGGUUUGUGUCG
rnacentral:lncRNA from 1 species